AGUGAACGCUGGCGGCGUGCCUAAUACAUGCCAGUCGAAGGAAGAGGCGCACGGGGGAGUAAUAUAUAGCUAAUUUGCCCCUUGCUGGAGGACAACAGUCAGAAAUGACUGCUAAUACUCCAUAUCAAGUGAUGAGACUAUAUCUUAUCAGCGAGUCGGUGGGGUAACGGCCUACCGAGGCUAUGACGUGUAACUGGGCUGAGAGGAUAUUCACUCACAUUUGAACUGUGACACGCUCCAAACUCCUACGGGAGGCAGCAGUAGGGAAUAUUGCGCAAUGGGGGAAACCCUGACGCAGCAACGCCGCGUGGAGGAUGACACUUUUCGGAGCAUAAACUCCUUUUGUUAGGAAAGCGGUACCUACCGAAUAAGCACCGGCUAACUCCGUGCCAGCAGCCGCGGUAAUAC
rnacentral:rRNA from 1 species